UUAAAAUUGUUGCAGUUAAAACGCUCGUAGUUGAAUUUCAAAGAAUCGAUAUUUUAAGUAACGCUUCUAGCUACAAAUCCACAUAACUGAUGCCUCCGCGUAUCGACUUUGUGCGCAUUUUAGCUAUUAUGUGUUCUUUUAAUUAAAAUGAUUCUUUUUAAGAUUCAUCUAUUAAAAAUUUGCUUCGGCAUAAUUUUUUUUGAUGAUCUUGUUACUUUGAGUAAAUUAGAGUGUUCAAAGCAAACAGAUAUAGCAUUUGUGCGUUUGAAUACUACAGCAUGGAAUAACAAAAUUGAACAAGUCAGAAUUUAUUUGUUCUUUUUUCUUAUUUUGGCUUAGUUACGAUUAAUAGGAGUAGUUUGGGGACAUUUGUAUUCAGAUGUCAGAGGUGAAAUUCUAAGAUUUUCUGGAGACAAACAACUGCGAAGGCAUUUGUCUAAAAUACUUCCAUUAAUCAAGAACGAAAGUUAAGGGAGUGAAGACGAUCAGAUACCGUCGUAAUCUUAACCAUAAACUAUACCGACUAGGUUUUGGAUGAAAGUAAAACAAAUAAGGAUAGUCUCUUCGGGGAUAGUUCUUAGAUUUCUUCCUUCAGUGCCUUAUGAGAAAUCAAAGUCUUUGGGUUCUGGGGCGAGUAUUCGCGCAAGCGAGAAAGUUAAAAGAAUUGACGGAAGGGCACCACCAGGCGUGGAGCUUGCGGCUUAAUUUGACUCAACACGGGAAAACUCACUAGUUUAAGACAAGAGUAGGAUUGACAGAUUAAUAGCUCUUUCUUGAUUUCUUGGAUGGUGAUGCAUGGCCGUUUUUAGUUCGUGAAUAUGAUUUGUCUGGUUAAUUCCGAUAACGAGCGAGAUCUUAACCUGCUAAUUAGCGGCAAAUACGAUAUAUUCUUAUGUAGAAUUGAAUAUAGUGGAUUUGUUGGAUUUCGAAGAAAAUAUUGGAAUUACGUUUAAAUGUGAUUCCUUUCCCUUUUCUACUUAAUUUACAUUUCCAUCUAUUUCUUUUUUGCGUAUGAAUGUAUUUGCUUGAUUGUAAAGCUUCUUAGAGGAACGAUGUGUGUCUAACACAAGGAAGUUUAAGGCAACAACAGG
rnacentral:rRNA from 1 species